UACGUAUGGUGCGAGCGUUGUCCGGAUUUACUGGGCGUGAAGGGGGCGCAGGCGGCGCGCCAAGCCCGAUGUGAAAGCCCGGGGCUCAACCCCGGGACUGCAUUGGGAACUGGCGUGCUGGAGUGCCGGAGGGGCAGGCGGAAUUCCUGGUGUAGCGGUGAAAUACGUAGAUAUCAGGAGGAACACCGGUGGCGAAGGCGGCCUGCUGGACGGAUACUGACGCCGAGGCCCGAAAGCGUGGGGAGCGAACAGG
rnacentral:rRNA from 1 species